UGUCUAUGCAUUGGUUGGGAUGUUGGUCUGCAUACUGAGGCCUCCGCCUCUUUUCUCCAGGACUGAAGGCUCGUCACAGCUGGGGAAAUGUCCCGGCUUCCUCUGUCCUUUUCUGGACCCUCUUUCACCCUGCUUUCAACAUGUCACCUCAGGGUGAAGCAGCAAGCUAAAUGUGUGAAGCAAGGAAAGAGCAGAGACCUACAGUGGUGUUUCAGGUUUUUGAGGUCAAGAAACGUACCCGAAGGCUGGAUGAGCUUAAUUCUGUUAACCUCAGUGAUUGUGGGAGGGGCUCCCGGGUCCUGAGCAGACUCUGAGUGUGUUGAUGUAGGUGGAGCUCAGAGAGAGAGAGUGAACCACGGCAAGAGCCCAAAUGGCGGUUUUCUCUGGAUCCAUCUCCCUUUUAUGGAAAGAACAAAGCUUUUCUCAUAUCAUCUCUUUCAGAGCUUUCAAACACAUGAAAUGUCA